UGCCAGACUCCUACGGGAGGCAGCAGUGGGGAAUAUUGCACAAUGGGGGAAACCCUGAUGCAGCGACGCCGCGUGAGUGAAGAAGUAUUUCGGUAUGUAAAGCUCUAUCAGCAGGGAAGAAAAUGACGGUACCUGACUAAGAAGCCCCGGCUAACUACGUGCCAGCAGCCGCGGUAAUACGUAGGGGGCAAGCGUUAUCCGGAUUUACUGGGUGUAAAGGGAGCGUAGACGGUGAUGCAAGUCAGAAGUGAAAGCCCGGGGCUCAACUCCGGGACUGCUUUUGAAACUGUGUAACUGGAGUGCAGGAGAGGUAAGCGGAAUUCCUGGUGUAGCGGUGAAAUGCGUAGAUAUCAGGAGGAACACCAGUGGCGAAGGCGGCCUGCUGGACCGUGACUGACGUUGAGGCUCGAGAGCGUGGGGAGCAAACAGGAUUAGAUACCCCCGUA
rnacentral:rRNA from 1 species